GAGUUUGAUCGUGGCUCAGAGUGAACGCUGGCGGUAGGCCUAACACAUGCAAGUCGAACGGCAGCACAGAGGAGCUUGCUCCUUGGGUGGCGAGUGGCGGACGGGUGAGGAAUACAUCGGAAUCUACUCUGUCGUGGGGGAUAACGUAGGGAAACUUACGCUAAUACCGCAUACGACCUACGGGUGAAGCAGGGAUCUUCGGACCUUGCGCGAUUGAAUGAGCCGAUGUCGGAUUAGCUAGUUGGCGGGUAAAGGCCCACCAAGGCGACGAUCCGUAGCUGGUCUGAGAGGAUGAUCAGCCACACUGGAACUGAGACACGGUCCAGACUCCUACGGGAGGCAGCAGUGGGGAAUAUUGGACAAUGGGCGCAAGCCUGAUCCAGCCAUACCGCGUGGGUGAAGAAGGCCU
rnacentral:rRNA from 1 species